GACGAACGCUGGCGGCGUGCCUAAUACAUGCAAGUCGAGCGGACAGAAGGGAGCUUGCUCCCGGAAGUUAGCGGCGGACGGGUGAGUAACACGUGGGCAACCUACCCUGUAGAUCGGGAUAACAUCGAGAAAUCGGUGCUAAUACCGGAUAAUCAUUUGAAGUGCAUGCUUCGAAUGUAAAAGAUGGCUCCGGCUAUCACUACGGGAUGGGCCCGCGGCGCAUUAGCUAGUUGGUAAGGUAAUGGCUUACCAAGGCAACGAUGCGUAGCCGACCUGAGAGGGUGAUCGGCCACACUGGGACUGAGACACGGCCCAGACUCCUACGGGAGGCAGCAGUAGGGAAUCUUCCGCAAUGGACGAAAGUCUGACGGAGCAACGCCGCGUGAGUGAUGAAGGUUUUCGGAUCGUAAAGCUCUGUUGUUAGGGAAGAACAAGUGCCGUUUGAAUAAGGCGGCACCUUGACGGUACCUAACCAGAAAGCCACGGCUAACUACGUGCCAGCCGCCGCCGUAACAC
rnacentral:rRNA from 1 species